AUAAGAGUGUCAGAAGUUAAUGAGGUGAUUUUAAGCGUCAUUUAUAGGUUUAAACCUCUCUUAUU
rnacentral:tRNA from 1 species